UUGAUACAUUUUUUACUAUUUUACUCAAAUGUAGACCUUCACAGGUUUCAACACAAUAGCAAGUUAAAUAGUUUAGAUAUUCUUUCACAACCGCUCUCUUCAAUGCUUUUUUUUGGAGCAUCGAAGCUUCAGUAAGAAAUAUUUGAGAAUAUGUGUGUCACGGUUUGGCCUCGCUUCCUGUUUUAGUUUGAAGUUUCAUGUCUCUUGUGGUCCUGGGUUAACUUCACUUCCUGCCUUGUCUUGUGAUUGCGUGAUUGUCUCCACCUGUGUCCAAUCACCUGCACCUCCCUUGUGUAUUUAAGCCCUGUGUGCCUGUUGUCCUUUGUCGCGUCAUUGUCUAUAUGUCCCUCGUCGUUGGAGCACGUUAUUGGUUUGUCUAAUAAAGAGCACUUUGAUGGAAGAAACUCUGCGCCUGAGUCCUCACUGCAGCAUGCCCCAGCCGAAGUGUGACAAUGUGAAGCUUUAACGAAGCCAUUGUCACGGAUGUGCUUGCUCCUGCCUCUGUUGAAGAUUGCUUGAACGUCCUCAAAAUACCACUGAAUGAGCAACGAGAGGCAACAACCAAAGCCCACACGCCAUUCUUCUCAGUGGCUUCAGAUGCCUCCAAUCUGGGCACCAAAGCUCUUCCCACUGUCAGUGCGUUACUGGACGCCAGACUUGGGAGUACAGAUGAAGGUCCUUGAUUUCUAUGAUGACAGUGAUGAAAUAUCUGCCGCGAUCCACAACCACAUAGUCACCAAGCUGGAGGAAAACAGACUGGGACUACACAUGAUAUCUGCGUAUUCCGCUGACAAUGCUAGUCUGAAUUAUGGGAGGUACAACUCUGUCUUCGAGAAACUAAAAGAAAACAACAAUUGCAUUUUGAAGGCAAACUGCGUGGCUCACAUUGUUCAAAACAGUGAAAGAGAUCGGCUAAAUGUCGACAUUGAAAAUGUCGUCAACAAGACCUUUAGCCACUUAUCAUCUGCAAAACGCAUUGAGGAACUUAAGUCAAUUCACACCUUUGUGGAGAUGGAGUACCAGUCCCUGCUUAGAUAUGUGCCCACAAGAUGGCUGAGCUUGUGGCCUGCAAUGAAGUGAGGCUUCACGACAGCUGGCCUCCUAUCAAGACCUACUUUCUCUCAUUGGGAGAGGACCAUUGCCCAAAGUCACUAUGGCGGCUGUUCAAGGAUGACCAGCAUGGUGAGGGCAACCCCCUUGAUCUACAGCAAUGCGCUGAAGAUUUUCCACGACACUGUGCUGGUGCUGGAGCGAGAAGAUGGGACUGUCUGUGAGCUCUACGAAAUCAUGUUCACCCUAAAAACCAAGCUACAGCAAUGGCAGAGUGAUGGUUUCUUUGGGACUGGUGUACUCCUCCAGCAGUUUCCAGACAGAAAGGCAGCUGUGCUCAGAGAAGACAUGUGCAACUUCUACCAGUCCUCUCACCUACCUGGAGCUGCGCUAUGACUUCUCAGACUCCAACUACCAAAGGAAAGUGGCUAGCCUGGCACUAAAGAAGAGCCCAUUCAACUUCUCUCAUCUCUGUGAAGCUGUAGAGGUCUUGCAGCUAAGCAAGAAGUUGGACAUGGAUGCGCUAUAUGAUGAAUAUUGUGUCGUUCUGCCACACCAACAGGCCAUUGUGCACUCUCCAGUCGUGAAGUGGGCCACCUUACUUAAGCACACACACACACAUCAAACAUGACAGCAUUUGCUUCUUUCCUCUUGAGUGUACCAAUCACCAAUGCUUCAGUGGAAAGGGUCUUUUCACUGACAAGAUGCUUGACGGACACAAGGAACAGAUGUUCGGUAAACCUUAUCAAGUCAGAAAUGCAGGUGAAGAGCAACUUCACAUUCAGUUGCAAGGACUUCUACACUUCUCCUCAAUGCUGUACACUCCAACAAGAAAUACAAAACGAAGAUGCUGGUGAAAAGGACUGAAAUAGUCCUAAAGGUGUCCCCAGAACACUGGAUACAGUUGGACACUGGAAACACUUUUCUGCGCCUGCCUUUCCUGCCUUGCCCUCCAAGUUUACCAUCCUUCCAUCCCCUUCUUGUUCCGUGAGCCUCUGGAGUUGUCAGUUAAAAGCUACUUUUUUUUUAAAACUUUUCCUGUGGUGUUCAGAAACUCCCAAUUCCUGUUAAUCCUAUAAUUUUAUAUUAGAAUGUAUUUAAAGUUAAUAAAUUUAAUGAAAAAUGUGGCAGUGCAUCUGUCAAUUCAUUGAAUGUUUAAAAUAUUGUGAAUCUUUAUUUAGAAGAAAAUACACAUUGGUUGGCCUAUUCAUGAGCAUAUUACAGCAACAUUACACAUGUUUAGGGGAAUAGGGCAUUAUUAAUAUACCAUGUAAGGUGGUUUGUGCUAGAAAUGGGUAAAGCACUAUCAGUGAGUCUUCUCGUGGGGUGGGCACCGCUGCGCCAUUCAGUGUCCCACAUUGUCCAUCAAAAAAUACCCCUUGUCCCCCCUUGGGCUUAUUAGCAGGCAGGGCUGGACUGGGACAAAAAAAGGGCCCUGGCAUUUCUGCUCAGACCGGCCCCCCACAAUCGGUCGGACACAACCACCAACCAGUACACUAUCCUAGCUUUCCCUGUAGAUAUGCAUAUCUACUGUUCCGUUCCCAAAAACCCAUACAAGGUUGAGAACUACUGUAAGUGCCAUGGACAGUAAUGUCGGUAAUCAGACAGUUGAUGGACCCCAUUGACUUCCAUAGUAGAAAAAAAAAUACUAUGGAA